GACGAACGCUGGCGGCGUGCUUAACACAUGCAAGUCGAACGGAAAGGCCCUGCUUUUGUGGGGUGCUCGAGUGGCGAACGGGUGAGUAACACGUGAGUAACCUGCCCUUGGCUUUGGGAUAACUUCAGGGAACUGGGGCUAAUACCGGAUAGGAGCUCCUGCUGCAUGGUGGGGGUUGGAAAGUUUCGGCGGUUGGGGAUGGACUCGCGGCUUAUCAGCUUGUUGGUGGGGUAGUGGCUUACCAAGGCUUUGACGGGUAGCCGGCCUGAGAGGGUGACCGGCCACAUUGGGACUGAGAUACGGCCCAGACUCCUACGGGAGGCAGCAGUGGGGAAUAUUGCACAAUGGGCGGAAGCCUGAUGCAGCAACGCCGCGUGCGGGAUGACGGCCUUCGGGUUGUAAACCGCUUUCGCCUGUGACGAAGCGUGAGUGACGGUAAUGGGUAAAGAAGCACCGGCUAACUACGUG
rnacentral:rRNA from 1 species